GCGAACUUAAGAAGGGACCCUUUCCAGUGGAACGCGACUUCACUCUUUCCGAUUCACUCAACGCUUUUUUGGAGACAGUACGUUCACGUGAGAAUCAAAAAGAAGCGAGUCUGCGUUCCAGAAAAUCACGUGGCCAAUCUUUCUCUCUCUCUCUCUCUCUCUUCCUCCUCCCUCCCUCUCUCUCUCUCUCUCUCUCUCUCUCGCUCUCUCGCUCUCUCGCUCUCUCAUCUUUUACAACCCUCUCCAGCCUGGCUGUGUGUACGAACUUUCAUACAGUCAUCGUGGGCGCUGCGGCGUGUUGAGAUGUGCCGGUCCUUGCACACUUUGGGGAAAUCCGUGGGUGGGGGAGACUGAAAAUGGCUGAGAACAGGACGACCAAAGAAAGCAGCUCCGUCGACCCGUUUCUUCCUGCCAGCUUACCCCCCUCCCCGCUUCCUGUUCUUUGGACCUCGCAGUCCAUAAAAUAAUGAAGCCUCUUACAAGCAGUGACGUUUUAGGUUCAACAAAAUACAUAAAGCUGAGUGAGAAGACCCACUAACUGGCAGCGAGACAGGGCAGCCCACGGUCCAUCUGUAAGACUGCGGGAGGAAAGCGCCUGCCCUUCCCAAUCGAUCGUGGAGACCCCACAAAGCUGAUAACUCUCGUGGGAAUCCUUGAGCGCUGCCUCUGAUUAAGCCCUGCUCGGCAGUUAACAAUCCUCCCUUUAAGACGAGGUACUCACUGAGCGUACUCAGAAGUGCCAGGCCAGCUACUGCUGUGGGACCAGGGUCUUAGCUUCAACGCCCUAUUGAGCUGACUUUCCAGCUGCGGUGCAGACCUAAUGAUGCUUCCUCCCAUUCUGUUUCUGCCCUUUUUCCUUCUCUGCCUCCGCUGGUACCAUCAUCACAUCAACCAGGAUCCAGUACCCUAU
rnacentral:lncRNA from 1 species